UAAGGCUUAGUUAUAAAAUAAUGUGGAUCUGUCAGUUCUAAGUUAUAAGUGAGAAUCUUAUAGCCUUAU
rnacentral:tRNA from 1 species